AAUAAGCCAUUUUCGUCCCCGUUGGCGAAAUGAAUACAAUACCAAUUCCAUUGCCUUCUCUAUUGGAGGAUCCAUCCACCAAAAUCUCCCAUCUGUUUGAGUUUCGCUCAGUUAAUAAAUCAUUAGGAUUUCCAUGUUCGUCAUCCACCUCCAUUAUUUCUUCUACAUAUUCAUCUUAUUCUACUGGAAAUUCUGCGAGCAAUUCUGCUAUAACUUGAGACUUUGGCGAAGAUAAAAUUUCAUAGCCGAUGUCAUAAUUUCCUAACUGUGCGUUCCACCUUUCUAUUCUUCCCGACCUCUUCGAAUUCUUCAUUGCAUUUUCAAUUGGUACUCUUGUUAAUACUUUAAUCUUGUGGGCUUGAAAAUAAAUGCGGAAUUUUUCUGAUAUUUGAAUAAUUUUGAUAUUUGAAUAAUUUUUUUAAUGGUGAAUGAUGCAUAUACCAGUGCGAGAAUCAUUUUUUUGAUAUUUGAAUAAUUUUUCUAUGCGCAAUUAUAGGUUUUGCUUAUAUAAUAUAUUGGUUUCUCCACACCUUCCUCCGAUCGUAAUAAUACUGCACUUACUGCAUGGGAUGUUGAUGCUAAGUACAAUAAUAGUUCUUCUCCUUGUUUCGCCUUUUGCAUAAUGGAUAGGUUCACCAAAUAAUCUUUUAUGCUUUGCAAUGCUUUAUCACAUUCCAUUGUCCAUUCAAAUUUGGUUCCCUUUUUUAGUAUAAAAGAUUAUUUGGUGAACCUAUCCAUUAUGAAAAUUUGAAUCUUAUGUGGUGGAUCGUAAUAAUAUUCUUCUCCUUGUUCCGAAGAUCUCGCAAUGAACCUUCCCAACGAUGCUAUCAAUCCAUUCAAUUUUUGAACAUCCUUGACUGUUGCAGGUGGUGGCAUAUCUCUGAUUGCUUGGAAUUUUUCUGGAUCCACUUGUAUUACCUCCUUAGAUAUAAUAUAGCCUAGGAAUUUUCCUGAUGCUACACCAAUUAUACAUUUUUCUGGAUUUACCUUAAUAUUGAAUGUUCGCAUUUGCUCAAAUAUUUCUCGCAAAUCAUCAACAUGGUCUUUCACCUCUUUGCUUUUAAUCAGCAUAUCGUCUACAAAACUUCCAGUGUUUUAUGGAUCCAUUUUUCAAAUAAUUUUUGUACCAUUCUUUGAUACGCCGCACCAACAUUCUUCAAUCCAAACGGCAUUUUCGUGUAACAAUAUAAACCUCUCGGUGCGAAGAAAGCAGUGUGUUCUUGAUCUUCUUCUGCUAAUGAAAUCUGAUUAUAGCCUUUGUACCCAUCUAACAUCGUGACUCUAUGAUUCCCUGACGCAGACUCCACCAUUUGGGGUAUGUCGCGUAGAGGGAAGUUAUCUUUCGGGCAUGCUUUAUUUAGAUCUGUAAAAUCCAUACAGAUCAUAAUUCCGUUGUUCUUUUUAGGUACCACCACCAUAUUUGCUAUCCAUUCUGGAUAUUUUGCUUCUCUAAUAAUUCCUGCAUCCAGCAUCUUUUGUAACUCUUCUUUGAUUUUAGGAUGAUAAUCAGUUGCAAUAUUCCUUAUUCUUUGCUUGAAUGGUUUUACAUUAUUCUUAAUGUCUAAUCUAUGACGUGCGACAGAUGGAUCUAUUCCUGGCAUUUCAUCCAUACUCCAUGCGAAAAUAUCACUAUAUGCUCGCAGAAUGUUUAUUGUUUUUUCUUCUUCUUCUUUACCCAUUUUGGUUCUGAUUCUUAAUAUUUUUUGUUCUUCUUCAGUUCCUAUAUUUAUUUCUUUUGUUGGUUCUGCUGCGGUAAAAUUCGCCUUUGGUUCACCCAUAGGUGUUGGUUCCUUCAUUUCUUUAAUUCGUUCACCUUCCUCAGUUGGUUCUUCACCUGGUAUUCAUUUUCCUUCUUUUGCUCUUAUCAUGUAUAUUUGAAACUCCUCUUCUUUUCUUUGUUCUUUCGCUUUUCUCCAUCUAUCCUUUCGUUUCUUUGCUCGUCCUUCGUAAUUUCGCACAUCUAUUUGAUUGCAAGUAUUCACAGCCUUAACGUCUCCUCUGAUUUCACCUAUACCGCUUGGAAUUGUAAAUCUGAUACAUUGAUGUAAUGUUGACGCAACUGCCUUUAAUCCAUGUACCCGUGGUCUCCCCAACAGCAUGUUGUAUGGUGACUCAAUGUCAAGCACACACGGUGUUAUCUUAGUUUCGAUCUCUCCCAGUAAUAUUCGCAUCACGAUCUCUCCCUUUGGCUUUGUAAUUGCUCUAUUGAAUCCAUGAAUAUUAUAUGAUGCGGGUGUAAUUUCUUCAUCUUUGUAUCCCACUGUUUUAAAUGUGCGAUAAGAUAAUAUAACAACUGCACUUCCUGUAUCUAUCAAUGUCUUAUCAAUCGCCAAUCCUUCAAAUGUCCUCUGUUGUGCAGUAACGUUUUCUCGCUCGACUGUAUCUAUAAUUCUACCUUCAUCGUUUCAAUUUUAUUUCCUUCAUGAUUUCUUUUAUGAAUUUUCCCGGUUACCGUCGCUUGGAAAUCUGCCUCAGAAAUUGAUACAUUAGUUAUGUUAUGACACUGUAUAUCUCUGCCUCUUUCUUGAACUGGCUCUAAUGGUUCUCAAACCCCUUGAAAUUUCUCUUUAUCUCUUGUUUGCUUCUACAAAGCAAGAAUAAAUUUUGGUCCCCUGCCGCAUCAUAAGCACAACAAGAGAAGUAGUGGUGAGCGCGGUGUCAUGAACGUCUGCAAGUUAGAUAUCAUUAAGCAUGUCAUCUUCAUAGGCAAUAUUAAUUAAUAUCUGUUGGAUGAUGAAAAAUUAAGAUCGAUCCAUCUGUCUUAUAAUCAGAAGACGAGACAGUGUCUCCUAUAACUCCUAGCUCUUCACACUCAAGAAAACCAUCAUCAAGUCCUGAAAUUAUGUUUGAAUCAGUUAUUUGUUU